rnacentral:tRNA from 1 species
CGCGGGGUAGAGCAGAGGCAGCUCGUCGGGCUCAUAACCCGGAGGUCGGAGGUUCGAGUCCUCCCCCCGCAACCA